AAAUUAAUAAAAACGGCCUAAAGCGUGAUUAAAUUAUAUUAAAAUAAAUAGAAAUAAAAAUUAACUCGACUGUUAUACGUAUAUGUUAAACGGUGAAACCAAAAACGAAAGAUAUUCUAACAAAUAAAUUACUUGAACCCACGAAAGCUAAGAAACAAACUAGGAUUAGAUACCCUACUAUGCUUAGCCUUAAACUUUGGAACAACCCGCCUGAGUACUACGAGCCACAGCUUAAAACUCAAAGGACUUGGCGGUGCUCUACACCCCCCUAGAGGAGCCUGUUCUAUAAUUGAUACCCCCCGCUAAACCUCACCACUUAUUGCCAAUACCGCUUAUAUACCGCCGUCGUCAGCUCACCAUUUAAAUGAAAAAUAGUAGGCAUAAUAAUAAACAUAAAAACGUCAGGUCAAGGUGUAGCGAAUUAGGUGGAAAGAAAUGGGCUACAUUUUCUAAACUAGAAAAUACGAAAAAUUUUAUGAAAAACUAUUUUCUAAAGGGUG
rnacentral:rRNA from 1 species